CCUACGGGGGGCAGCAGUGAGGAAUAUUGGUCAAUGGGCGAGAGCCUGAACCAGCCAAGUCGCGUGAAGGAUGACGGCCCUACGGGUUGUAAACUUCUUUUGUCAGGGAGCAAUUGGGUCCACGCGUGGGCUUAGCGAGAGUACCUGAAGAAAAAGCAUCGGCUAACUCCGUGCCAGCAGCCGCGGUAAUACGGAGGAUGCGAGCGUUAUCCGGAUUUAUUGGGUUUAAAGGGUGCGUAGGCGGAAUAUCAAGUCAGCGGUAAAAAUGCGGGGCUCAACCCCGUCGUGCCGUUGAAACUGGGGAUCUAGAGUGUGCGAGAGGUAUGCGGAAUGCGUGGUGUAGCGGUGAAAUGCAUAGAUAGCACGCAGAACCCCGAUUGCGAAGGCAGCAUACCGGUGCACAACUGACGCUCAGGCACGAAAGCGUGGGUAUCGAACAGGAUUAGAUACCCUGGUAGUC
rnacentral:rRNA from 1 species